AUGGAAUGUGUGGCGAUGUUUCCGACUAACUCCACACCACAACACAAGCCCCUCCCCAUCCUCCUCCCUUGCACUACAUCCGCCAUGACUGUCAGCGGCGAAGCUCUGUGGGAGAGUCUUUGCACGGAGAUGAAGCACUCCAUGGCUGCCCUUGCCGCCGCUUGGCAGAGUUGCCGUGCCAGGCAGAUCGAGACCGGCUUGCCGGCCAGCUCACCCGAGGUCUUCGACGACAAGGACGACACCAUGAUAGACUCCAACGACACCGUCCUUGCUCCUAUGCCUCCUGUGCACGCUGAUCUCACCAUGGACCAUUCGCAAGCGCACUACAAUGCCGCCAUGGCGUAG
rnacentral:rRNA from 1 species